GCAGGGAAGCCAGACCGGUUUGCAGCGGCGGCGGCGGCGGCGGCGGGGUCCGCCGCAGUCGGUGCCUCGGGGAGCCGGGGCUCGGGCGGGUUCUCCACGGUUCCAGGGCUGGCCGGGGCCUCGCGGCGCUUCCAAAGUCCUGCAGCCCCGCUGCGCAGAGCGGUGCUUGGGGUAGGGCAUCCUCCCUCCCCCGGGCCCCUGGACUCUGCAGCGCCUGGUCGCCUGCCCGCUGGACUCUGCUUGCCGCGAAGCCCGCAUUUAAGGACAGGGGGGCCCCGCCACUAGGAAGGGACAGCUAAGCUGCCCAGGCGACGCUGUGCCCCCCUGUGAUGACAGCGGGAGUUCCCAGGAAUGACAUCUCAAGGGAAAAUGAUCCAGAAAGGAGUUGCCAAAGGGAAUCUGUGAAGUACCAGUCAGCCAUGGCUAUGUCUAGCAGUUCAUCCACCAUUAACUCCUCAACUUGAAAAAUCCUUCAGGAAUCCACGUGAAAGGAUGCAUACUCUCCUUUUUGUCAUUCCCCUCUUUCUGCUGGCUGGAAAAAGACAUUAAGAGGAGCAGCCAUCUUGGGACCCAAAGAAGGAAGCCACAUGCUAUUGGUAGCAGUGUGCUGAUCCCUGACAGAGAGGAAAGGGAUCAUGCCCAAUCUAGCAUCCAGCACAGUGGAAACACCCAGGAAAUUCUUACAGAAGGAAGGAUGGAAGGAGGCACAAAGGAGCUACAGUGAAUUGCCCUCAAAUCACAUUUUGCAUAAUGAGAUGUGAGGAAGAAUGGGAUUCAAAUCAGAAUAUACUCAGGAUUGGCAAUCUCAGAAUGUGACUCCUCCUUCAUGGCCCAAGAACUGCUGCUAGAGCCCCAGCUAUCACCUCUGCAUUCCAGGCACUAGGAAGAAGAAAUGGAUAAAGAAGGCAAAGUCUCUUUUAUAGAUACUUUCAAGAAGUUGCACGUGAUGUUUCUUAUUUCAUCUGUAUCAGAGUUCAGGUAGAAAGAUGAAUUGUUACAAGUGUUAUGGGAUAAAGGAUCUAUUAUGGAUAAAUAGACUUUACACUGUAUGGGAAGAGUUGUAGAGAGUUGGAGGGUCAGAGAAGCUGUCACCAACUGGUCAUUUUGAAAAGCCAAGCAUAUCAAGCUACUGGAAGGGGGCUGAGAAUGGGGAGUUCAUGUAAAGGUCUGUAGGAAGCUGCUACCCCCUCUGGAGGAUCCUAAUUAAGCACCUGGAGGGGAACCAGUGGCUCUUGUUGGUCAGUAGGGCCAGAAGUUCAGAAGAGGAGCUGGACAUACAAUGGAAGAGAGUGAGUUACAGCUGGAAACUGUUGGACACCUCUGCAUCCAUCUGUCACCAUAUUGGAAAACAAAGAACAAAAUGACGAUUACAGACCAAUGACCACUGCCUUACUUCUGCCUCCUAAAUUUCAUUCAAGAUCCUUUUUUGGCCAACUACAACCUGGAACCACACACAAAAUGUAAUUCUGGGAACCAGCUCCUAGUUUAACCAAGGUGGUGCAGUACAAACCACCACGAUUCCCUCUACAUCACCCUGGCAUGCAUAUACAAGUCUCUGUCUCUCUCUUCUUAAACCACAUUUAAUUUUUAAGUAGAGACGAUGGUGCAAUCAUGCUUCCAUAUAACCCGAUGCAGCUAUCCCUCAUACAGCUGGAAAAUGUAAACCCUUCCCCCAAAAGAGGAUACACAGAAGUUCAUGUGUCACUUGUGUCCAUCACUUGGAUAAUAGUCCAACCUCUGCUCACUCAGUUACACUUUGCCUUAAGCCCUUAACUUCAACACUGAGAUAUAAAGUUAAAUGCUAUUAACACAUCCUAUGUUAAAAGUAGGAGAAUUAGAAAAGAUUACAGUAUGUAAUGUUUAUUAUGAACACGUUCAUAUUAAAGCAAGGAGCACUCAUAAAGACCCACAGUCCUCGUUUCUACAACUGGUCACAUAGUCAUAGCUGGUACUUAAUACUUUUCUCUUUCAUGACAUAGUCUAUAUUUUCUCUUCCCUCAGCAAGCAGUGCAGCUGGUCAUAAUCUUGCAUGAUACAGUGAAUCAAGCCUUCAUUCCAGAAGGGUCUGGGCCAUGAGCAAUCCUAGUUGUAUUGGAUUUUGUAGUUUUCCAUUAACAUUUAUCAUAGGAGAUAGGAUGGCUACCAGGUAGCCUAAAAGAUCUCCUAUGUUUCAGACAUACUCUUUCCCUGACCCCACCUUGAUAGUCUCCUUGAUGGUCAUGAUCAAUCAAUCACCCAAGCCAGUAAAUACUGAGACUUUUUUUUUUUUUUUUUUUUUUUGUUAAUUUGUUCUUUGGCAUGAGUUGCCUAAAAUGAUCAGUAGAGCAUGUCAGUUUCCGGUUAAAAACCCACUGCUGUGUUUCCUGAUGGAAACAUUAUUGCCUUGGGAUUUUUUUUUUCUAAACCAAGAGAUCCCAAAGUUUUGGUGACAAAAUCAAACAUUUUACUAAUGGAUUAUUAGGGAUAGAAGAGAAAGGACCCACUCCCAUUUCUAUCCCUUAGACUUGCCUAUAAGAGAAACAUUGCCAUAUACUGGUUGGUAAUUUAGAGCAUAUAUUGCAUUCUGGUGGAUGUUACCCUGACUUUGAAAAGUGUCACCACAUAGCUGACACCAUAACUGAAUCUUUUUUUUCAAUCUGAGAUAUAGUUGACAAUUAAAAAUUAUAUAUAUUUAAGGUAUACAACUUGAUGAUUUAAUAUAUGUAUACUUUGUAAAAUAUUUAUUACAAUCAAGCUAAUUAACAUAUGUAUCAGGGAUCCCUUGAUGACUCAGCUGUUUAGUGCCUGCCUUCGGCCCAGGGCGUGAUCCUAGAGUCUCGGGAUCAAGUCUCACAUCAGGCUCCCUGCAUGGAGCCUGCUUCUCCCUCUGCCUGUGUCUUUGUCUCUCUCUCUCUCUGUCUCUCAUGAAUAAAUAAAUAAAAUCUUUAAAAAAUAUGUAUCACCUCACAGGGUUAUAAUUAUUAAGUGCACGGUGAGAACAGUUGAGAUCUACCCUCUUAGCAAAUUUCAAUUAUAUGAUGCAAUACUGUUAAUUAUAUAGCCACAUUGUUGUGCAUUAGAUCUCCAGAAUUUGUCUGACAUAACUGAAACUUUGUACUCCUGAGCCAACAUCUCCCCAUAAUCUCCUUCCCUUGGCCUCUGGUAACCACCAUCUUCUGUUUCUGAGUCUGACAUUUUUCAGUUCUGCAUAUAAGCAAG